UUUCUGUCUCCCCAGAGCGAGCUGCUUCUGUGAUUCCUUCCCCAGGUCAUCUCGGACGGCACCAAAGUCUUCGUCGUCCUCAACCAGGAGGUUCUAGAUUUCAAAAUAAUGAGCGAACAGUGUUUUCAGAUCUCUUCCUAGCGUAGAUUUAAGGUGUAUGUAAAAAAUAUAUCAACACAGGGUCUAAAUUUACAUGAACUAAACGAACAUAAAACAUCCUGGUGCUGGACACACGCGGCCACGAUGCAAAUGCCGGCCAGCCUGCUCUCUCCCUCCGAGCGUGCGGCCCCGCUGACGCGGCGCAGGGGCUCCGGCCGAGGGAGGGAGACGCAGGCAGGGGCCCUCCCCGGCGGUAAGCACAGCUGUUUAGAAAUCCUGUCACCGUGGCCACCUGCACACCUGCAGUGACACCGUGGGCGUCUGUUAACUCCUCGGCAUCCCCAGAUGCUGUCCCCACGUUCUCCCGAGGGACCAGACCUCCCUGCUCCUGGCACGUGCCAUCGGCUUCAUACACGGAUGUCAUUCACCGUGAGCCCUGGCCGCCCCGCAGUCCUGCCUCAGCACAGGGGGACUGAGCACGACGCUCACAGGAAGGAACCUGUGUCCAAAAGUGGCGAUUUUGAGGCCCGCCACCUGCCACCCCACAUGACUGACGGCCUCAGUCGUGUGCAUCUGGGAGGGGCAACUACGUGCUGAGAUACUGAGGACACGCAGGAGGCUUCUGCUGCUCUUACAAGUUGCUCUCAGGCUCCGAGACCAUCUGGAGAAGACGGGAUUAUCUGAGCCUUGAAGAGCCAAUACAACUUCUCUAUGAGAUCUGAGAAAUCAAUCAUCUUGAAUAAAGGAAAGUCAACCUCAGGUUCUCACUACGUUCCCCAUCUGAGAGAAGGCACAGCAGCCUAGUCACUACACCAGCGAGGCCCAGGCUCUCUGAGGAAGGCCCCCAACGUUACCCAGCUGGAAACCGGAAGCCACUCGAACUUUUCGGGGAAAUACUUGGCGAUUUCGAUCUUCUCCACAGGAAGAGAGCAGAAGUGGGCGACGCACUGCCUCAGGGAGCAGGCGGUCCAGCCCUGGGCAGUGUCCCACACCAAGUCCACGUGCGGGGCAUACGCCCUCCUGCCGGGGAUGCGCAUCUGGGUCCUCAGCACCACGUCGUGGGGCCUGCACCAGAAAACAGGCGCGUGUCAGACUGAACCA